AACGCUGGCGGCGUGCUUAACACAUGCAAGUCGAACGGAACUUCUUGGAUAGAGGCUUCGGCCAAUUGAAUUGAAGUUUAGUGGCGGACUGGUGAGUAACGCGUGAGGAACCUGCCUUUCAGAGGGGGACAACAGUUGGAAACGACUGCUAAUACCGCAUAAGCGCACAGCAUCGCAUGAUGCAGUGUAGAAAAGCCGAGACGGUAUACGAUGGACCCGCGUCUGAUUAGCUAGUUGGUGAGGUAGAGGCUCACCAAGGCGACGAUCAGUAGCCGGCCUGAGAGGGUGACCGGCCACAUUGGGACUGAGACACGGCCCAAACUCCUACGGGAGGCAGCAGGUGGGGAAUAUUGCACAAUGGGGGAAACCCUGAUGCAGCAAUGCCGCGUGAGGGAAGAAGGUCUUCGGAUUGUAAACCUAAGUUGUCAGGGACGAUACAAGACGGUACCUGAAGAGAAAGCUCCGGCUAACUACGUG
rnacentral:rRNA from 1 species